GGUUAAGUAAAUUAAAUCACUCACUGUCUUUUUUUUUUUUUUCCAUUGGCUUUAAAAGUUAAAGGUAAUUUGCAAAGAAAAUGCUCAGUUUGAAUUGGUUUGUAAUAUCUGUUAAUGAUCUUUAAAAAAAUCCACUUAUUCACAAUUCUGUCCCUGGGGGAAUUCCAAUGUGCUAUCAGAAAAAAUUUCUAAAGUCUGAAAUGUCAUUAGCUAGUGAUUUCUUUGAAGUAAAAAGCCCCGAAAAAAAUAAAUUAUAUAAGGUAUACAAGUGCACAGGACAAUCACUUUGAUGAAUAAUAUCUCUUUUUUUCAUAACGUUUCAUACCUAAAAAUGCAACAACUGAAAUUCAAGCUGGUAAAUUAUAGAGCCAUCUUUUGAAUUACCUCAAUGUAGGCAUGCCUUCUGUUUAUUUCUCACAUAUAUUGAGUUCUUCCAUAUAUUUAUAGAUUGUUGAUAUAAAAACAGUAGUGUUAGGAACAAUUUUGAUGAUAUUCAUUGUGUUUUCUUUUUGGAAACACAAAGUGUUGCCUAAAUACAGGCAUACAGGUGUUGCCAUCCGGGGAUUAAAACAAUAGCCUAUUUCAAUAUUCCAUCCUGGACCCCAGAGCCAGGUGCCGUGAAUGGAGGUGCAAAUGCUACUCAGCCCGGGAGAGUUGUUCAAUAUUAGAUAACAGAGCCAUGAAAUACUACACCAAAGGGAAAAUUUUCUUCCUGACCCCAGCUGGUGAUCAGUUUUUGCCUGGAAGCAGGGGAGUCUUUGUAAUACAAUACUUGUCAAUGUUGUUGGUUUGGCUGCUAUAAAUAGCUAUUUUUUUUGGAGGAUGGGAGGAGUUGGAUUUUACUAAACCAUUGGCUACAGGUUAAUUAUACAUUUCAUAAAAAAGCAUUUCUUGUAGCCAGUCUAAAUUUGUUACGUUUUAAUCCCAUUUUAUAUAAGGCUAGAAAUAUAUGAGCCUCCAGCAGGCCCGUUAUUUUUGUCAUUAUUUUAUACAUUGGACCUUCAGCUCUCUAUCUCUCUUUUUUUCUUUUUCCUCUCUAUGCAUUACUCACCUCUUAGCUAAAUUGCAGAGGGUCCCAGUUUCAUUCAUUCUCCCUCACAGGGAAGGCAUUCUCUUCCUCUUCCUCCAGCUGCCUGAAAAUCAUAUGCGUGGUUUUUCCUGUUUCCUGCUCUGUAGCUGACAUCAGGGGAGCAACGUGAACACAGGUAAGAGCCAGCUUGGUUAGCAAAUUAAAAUUGAUUGAUUUUAAUGAAGAUAUUCUAUAAUAUUUUCUUAUUCCCUUUAUUUAUUUCAAGGAAAAUGGAAAUCAACAUUUGAAACUUUUAAAUGGAAGCUUUAUUGGGGUUCCACAUAUGGAAAACUGCAAAUAGCAGAAGUAUGUGACUCAAUAAAUUAUUCUGGAGUGACCACAUCCUCUAACUGCCUCCCAGGACAAGACGGAGAAUGUGAACAAUGCUCCUGAAGGCCCCUUUCCCUCAAAGAAUCACUGCAAUUGAAGGAAAAAUGCUCCAUGUCCCCUCUGCCAGUUGGUGUUUAUCAAAGGACAACGGAGGAAGAGAGACAAAGUGCCUGGAUGUGUGUGUUAAUCAAGAGUUGUCAGGACCCUGCCUCUAAAAGAAAGCGCUAAAAUGAUGCUUUUGACAAGACUUUUCUCAAAGUGGAUGCAGUCUAAGGGUUGGAAAACAAGGCCCAAUCAGGCUAGGUCUGACUUGUCGCCUGCUUUUG
ensembl:lncRNA PANTR1 POU3F3 adjacent non-coding transcript 1